GACGUAGGGGGCCAGCGUUGUUCGGAAUUACUGGGUGUAAAGAGCUCGUAGGUGGUUCGGUAAGUCGGAUGUGAAAUCUCCAGGCUCAACCUGGAGGGGUCAUUCGAUACUGCCGUGACUAGAGGUCGGUAGGGGAGUGUGGAAUUCCUGGUGGAGCGGUGAAAUGCGCAGAUAUCAGGAGGAACACCCGUAGCGAAGGCGGCACUCUGGGCCGAUACUGACACUGAGGAGCGAAAGCGUGGGGAGCGAACAGG
rnacentral:rRNA from 1 species